AUGAACGCUAGCGGCAGGCUUAAUACAUGCAAGUCGUGGGGCAGCAGGUCUGUAGCAAUACAGAUGCUGGCGACCGGCAAACGGGUGUGGAACACGUACACAACCUUCCUUUAAGUGGGGAAUAGCCCGGGGAAACCCGGAUUAAUACCCCGUAACAUAGUGAAAAGGCAUCUUUUUAUUAUUAUAGCAGCAAUGCGCUUGAUGAUGGGUGUGCGCCUGAUUAGGCAGUUGGCGGGGUAACGGCCCACCAAACCUACGAUCAGUAACUGGUGUGAGAGCACGACCAGUCACACGGGCACUGAGACACGGGCCCGACUCCUACGGGAGGCAGCAGUAAGGAAUAUUGGUCAAUGGACGCAAGUCUGAACCAGCCAUGCCGCGUGGAGGAUGAAGGUCCUCUGGAUUGUAAACUUCUUUUAUCUGGGAAGAAAUCCACGAAUUCUUUUGUGGUUGACGGUACCAGAUGAAUAAGCACCGGCUAACUCCGUGCCAGCAGCCGCGGUAAUACGGAGGGUGCAAGCGUUAUCCGGAUUCACUGGGUUUAAAGGGUGCGUAGGCGGCCCGGUAAGUCAGUGGUGAAAUCUCCUUGCUUAACAAGGAAACUGCCAUUGAUACUGCUGGGCUUGAGUACAGAUGCUGUGGGCGGAAUAUGACAUGUAGUGGUGAAAUACAUAGAGAUGUCAUAGAACACCGAUUGCGAAGGCAGCUCACAAAACUGUAACUGACGCUGAGGCACGAAAGUGCGGGGAUCAAACAGGAUUAGAUACCCUGGUAGUCCGCACUGUAAACGAUGAUUACUCGCUGUUGGAAAGCAAUUUCCAGUGGCUUAGCGAAAGCGAUAAGUAAUCCACCUGGGGAGUACGCCGGCAACGGUGAAACUCAAAGGAAUUGACGGGGGCCCGCACAAGCGGAGGAGCAUGUGGUUUAAUUCGAUGAUACGCGAGGAACCUUACCAGGGCUUGAAAGUUAAGGAAUGAUUAUGAAAGUGAUCAGUCAGCAAUGACCUAAAACUAGGUGCUGCAUGGCUGUCGUCAGCUCGUGCCGUGAGGUGUUGGGUUAAGUCCCGCAACGAACGCAACCCCUACCAUUAGUUGCCAGCGGUUCGGCCGGGGACUCUAAUGGAACUGCCCGCGCAAGCGGAGAGGAAGGUGGGGAUGACGUCAAGUCAUCACGGCCCUUACGUCCUGGGCUACACACGUGCUACAAUGGCUAUUACAGAGGGCCGCUACAUAGUAAUAUGAUGCAAAUCUUCAAAAAUAGUCUCAGUUCGGAUUGGGGUCUGCAACUCGACCUCAUGAAGCUGGAUUCGCUAGUAAUCGCGCAUCAGCAAUGGCGCGGUGAAUACGUUCCCGGGCCUUGUACACACCGCCCGUCAAGCCAUGAAAGCUGGGAGCAUCUAAAGUAGGUUGCCGCAAGGCGCCUCCUAGGGUGAAACCGGUGAUUGGGGCU
rnacentral:rRNA from 1 species